GGCCUCGGGCUGCAGGUCGAACCCAUGUGACCUUAUCUCUUUGUUGCCUCGGCGCAAGCUACCCGGGACCUCGGUCUCUGGCGGCCCGCCGGUGGACACACUAAACUCUGUUAUCUUUGUGAUUAUCUGAAUGUCUUAUUUAAUAAGUCAAAACUUUCAACUUCGGAUCUCUUGGUUCUGGCCUCUAUGAACAACGCAACCAAAUGCAAUAAGUAAUGUGAAUUGCAUAAUUCAAUGAAUCAUCUUAUCUUUGAACUCAAAUUGCGCCCACCACUAUUCUCCUGGGCGUGCCUGUUCCAGCGUCAUUUCAACCCCUAAACUCAUCUUAUUGUUGGGAAUCUGCGUUUGGAGUUCCUCAAACACAUUGGCGGAGUGGCACCACUCCUCUGAACGUAGUAAUUUUUUAUCUCGCUUUUGUUAGGCGCUGCCUCCCCGGCCGUUAAACACCCCAUUUUUUCUGGUUGACCCCGGAUCUUGUACGAAUACCCGCUGAACUUGAACAUAUCCCUAGUCAGAUGAAGCAUAUCAAUAACGCGGAGAAAAAGUGGAUGGUUGCCCUACCGUCGCGUCAUGUCGAGCAUGCCAUUCUCUUGUCGCGGGCUGGCUCAUCGACCCUUAAGUACCAUCAACUGUGGUACCAUCAACUGCAGACCCCACGUCAGGCGGGAUUACGCAGCUAAGUUUAUGCAUAUCAUAACGCGGAGGAGCAACCACGGGGUGAAUAGAGUAGCUUACUGUACAUACUCGCGAGCGAC
rnacentral:rRNA from 1 species